rnacentral:rRNA from 1 species
AGCAGCCGCGGUAAUUCCAGCUCCAAUAGCGUAUAUUAAAGUUGUUGCAGUUAAAAGCUCGUAGUUGAACUUCGGGAUCGAGGGAUCGGUCAUGCCUUGGUAUGUACUGAUCUCAUCGGUUCUCACCUUCUAAAGAACCAUAAUGUCAUUCAUUUGAUGUUAUGGGGAAUUAGGACUGUUACCUUGAAAAAUUAGAGUGUUUAAAGCAGGCUUACGCUUGAAUACAUUAGCAUGGAAUAAUGAAAUAGGACAUCAGAUUCUAUUUUGUUGGUUUCUAGGAUCGAUGUAAUGAUUAAUAGGGAUAGUUGGGGGCAUUAGUAUUCAAUUG